CCUACGGGAGGCAGCAGUGAGGAAUAUUGGUCAAUGGGCUUACGCCUGAACCAGCCAAGUCGCGUGAGGGAAGACUGCCCUAUGGGUUGUAAACCUCUUUUGUCAGGGAGCAACGCCGGCUACGUGUAGCCGGACUGAGAGUACCUGAAGAAAAAGCAUCGGCUAACUCCGUGCCAGCAGCCGCGGUAAUACGGAGGAUGCGAGCGUUAUCCGGAUUUAUUGGGUUUAAAGGGUGCGUAGGCGGAAUGCCAAGUCAGCGGUAAAAUCGCGGGGCUCAACCUCGCACCGCCGUUGAAACUGGCGUGCUUGAGUGCAGGAGAGGAAAGUGGAAUUCCUAGUGGAGCGGUGAAAUGCGUAGAUAUUAGGAGGAACACCAGUGGCGAAGGCGACUUUCUGGACUGUACCUGACGCUGAGGCGCGAAAGCGUGGGUAGCGAACGGGAUUAGAUACCCGGGUAGUC
rnacentral:rRNA from 1 species